rnacentral:hammerhead_ribozyme from 1 species
AUCCAGAUGACGAGCUCAAAAUAGGACGAAACGCGCAUCCUGGAU